GAUGAACGCUGGCGGCGUGCCUAAUACAUGCAAGUCGAGCGAACAGACGAGGAGCUUGCUCCUCUGACGUUAGCGGCGGACGGGUGAGUAACACGUGGAUAACCUACCUAUAAGACUGGGAUAACUUCGGGAAACCGGAGCUAAUACCGGAUAACAUGUUGAACCGCAUGGUUCAACAGUGAAAGACGGUUUUGCUGUCACUUAUAGAUGGAUCCGCGCCGCAUUAGCUAGUUGGUAAGGUAACGGCUUACCAAGGCAACGAUGCGUAGCCGACCUGAGAGGGUGAUCGGCCACACUGGAACUGAGACACGGUCCAGACUCCUACGGGAGGCAGCAGUAGGGAAUCUUCCGCAAUGGGCGAAAGCCUGACGGAGCAACGCCGCGUGAGUGAAGAAGGUCUGCGGAUCGUAAAACUCUGUUAUUAGGGAAGAACAAAUGUGUAAGUAACGAUGCACGUCUUGACGGUACCUAAUCAGAAAGCCACGGCUAACUACGU
rnacentral:rRNA from 1 species